AAGUUUUAAUAGCGCCACGUUGUCAACUGUAGCGAACGGUGAGAGACUGCUGCGAAUUAUUGCACGGGCACAAAGUCCGACUCUGGGAAGUUGUCGCCCUGAAACUGCAUAGCAUCAUUGCAACGACUACAAGAGAAUCGUUGUUAUCAUUGUCCUCAUCGUCGUUAUCGUUAUUAUUGUGGUGAGACGUUUUCGUUUAUGUUGCGAAAGGACACUUUGGGAUACGUCACUUAAGAAGACGUCAUGCUACGCUUCCUCAAACGUGGAAACGAAGAAAUCGGUAUCGUCUUGUGAUAAACCAUGGAAAUUCGUGAUCGAUAACAUGGGAGAUACAGUGGAAACAACGUAAUAACGUGGCCGCGGAUGAUGGCAGGCCAAUGAUAAACUGUUUAUUAAAAUAAAAGAGGAAACAGUUAGGACAAAGAGUCGAAGUCGGAACAGUGUGAACAGGGCGACGCGACGGACGGUAAGGGAGGCAGCACAGAGCCGUAGUAAUGGAUGAAUGGGAGUGAGCGCGGCGCACGGGAAGUGCAGGAGCGGCGGACGCGCACUUUGUGGCACGUCGUGGGAGCCUCUGGAUGUGGAGGCCGCGGCACUGGCAGCGUCAGUGGCAGUGAUGGCCCCUGCUCUGACGGAAGGUGGUCCUCAAAAGCCUGAAAACUUGCUCCCUACCCUACCAGCCGCCAGCGGCUUUCUGUCCCCCGAUCAGGCCACGCAGGUGUGCCAAAACCGUGAGAUUCUGUCCAAGUUUGUGGUGCCGGCGAACGUGCAACCGUCGAAGAUCGACGAGCAGUGCUUGCAUGGUAUCUCAAAGGACCUCAUACGCGAUGUCAUUAACUCCAAGUAUGCAAACAACCUCGACUCGCUAUCCGCGUUUACGAAUGCGUCCGACUUGAUCGGAUCAAGGAACGGUGCGGCGUGUUUGCAACAGCAGGCGGCGGCGCCGGCGGCGGCGGAGGCGGCGGAGGAGGAGGAAGAAGAGGAGGAGGACUUUGAGCGGCCGGUCACGCUGCCGGACGCCGGUCACGCCGAGGGGAAGGAGAUCGACAUUAUAAUGAACGACCCAUCUAUGGGUGAUCAAACGAACAACAUGGGUUUCUUGAAAUCGAGCGUGGACUUGCCCCUGGUGGCUAAUGAGACCGAAACGGAAGACAAUAAGAAUCUGGAUGUCGAUCAGAUCAUGGCCUUCGGUACCGAUAUCACGGCUGAGCAGUGCAACAUGGCGAAUGUCGCUGAUAUCGGGCACAACGUGGAGGAGAUUUUACAGGUCAUUAAUUCGAUAGAGGGCGCGGGGAGUACCGAGAACAUUUCUACGGACGUUGGUGAGCCAGUGCAAGGCGCUGUCGACAGCGUGGAAAUGUUUGCUAUGCCCGAGGAAGGAUUCGCGUCCUUCGAACGGGACUUACUUAACGACGUGGACGUUAUGAGUCUUUGCAACGAUAAUAUGAAUAUCACAGUGGACACGGUGGACCAGCAAAAGUCCAACAGUUUGAGAUCGCAACAGGACAUUGUGGCACAGAAACAAUUCGAGAAUGAAAGGAGAUGCGCGUUUUUAAUGAGAAGACUGAGGAAACUUCAAAUGAGAAUAAUAGGCAGACACGUGGCGGAAGAGAAUACCGGUGUUCUCGAAUUAGCCCAUCACGGAGUAAAAAAAUAUCUUCUACAAGAAUUGGUUAAUAUUGGUUCGAAAUCUAACGUAAGAAACUUUCCCGAGAUUGGUGGUAGUUUACAUUCGUUCCUGCAGAAAAUUGAGAAAAUGUGUGUUGCUCAGAGUAAUAGUGUGAAUCGUCAAAGAGUGUGUCGAUACUUUGGUGGAGGGUCACGUGAUAGCGUGGGUGGUACAUCUGGCAAUAAUGGUAAUCGUCAGCCAGUAUUUGGUACCCCUCAGGUUAAACUAAAUGGUGAAGAAGUGGAAAAUAUGGCUGGAUCUUUGUCCACGCAAUUACAUAUUUUGGAAUCUAACUUGGAUUCGGACUGUACAGCAUCCAGCAGUGGUGGAGAAAGUUGCGAUGAAAUGCAGACAUUUAACAAUUCACAACAACAACGUCUGUCCAUAUCGAAAAGAGCAGCAUGGAGAUAUGCACAGGAUCGUGCAGGUGUAGCAUCACGGUGGAUCUGGCUACAGGCACAGAUAUCAGAUUUAGAAUACAAAAUUAGACAGCAUAACGAUCUGCAACGGCAGGUUAGGGCCGCGAAAGGCCUGGUCGUUCUUGAAAAUGCAGAAACCGUUAAUGGAUACAGUGGCGCUCUACCAGGUUCCACUGGACGAUGCAAUUCGUCCGAGGGCGAAUUACCAGCUAGUAGGACGCGUCCAUUUGUAUGGAAUUUUUAUAGAAAGCGAAAGCUUUUGCAAGUCGACAGGCUACACGAAGUUUCAAAGCGUGCAGCUAAAGCGUCAACAGUGAGAUGCAAUUGUGAUCAUGUAUUGCCUGCAUGUGCUUUAUGUACAGGAAGGCUAGAUCCAAUGCAGCCACAAGAACCAAUUGAACAGCUUUCUGUACAGGAACGUGUAGCACUUGUUGAUUCCAGUUUUCAUCCGGUGUUGUCAUUCUCUGAUGAAAUUGUACAUGGAACACAUUUAGAAGCUAUUAUGAAAUCAGUGGAGUGGCAGCAGAAAAUGUUGAGAGGCAAUUUGCGAGUUACCCGAGUGAAAGAUAAAGAUAGCAACGAACGAAGAAAUAAAAAACUUCCUAAUAGAACGAAGUAUACCGCGCGAUUAAAGAAAUCAUCUUCUACUAUUCUUACAGCACGGAUUAAGAGAAAAAUGUUGAAAAAUGAAAAGAGAAAUAGACUCAGUCACGAGAGAAGCGUGCCUGGAUUGAAUAAGAAAAAAGUAUCAAAGUUGCCGACUGAGGAUGACGACGACGUUAGCGCACUUUCAAGUUCCAGCAAACACUCAUCUCCAGUGCCUUCUCCAUUGCAACAUGUUACUGCCUCGACGGAGAAAAACGUUGUUAAAGAGAAAAGUUCCAAUUCACAUGGGCGUUUGCGACAAAACUCGUACGACAUCGACAAUAUAGUCAUUCCUUAUAGUGUCGCUGCUUCAACUAGACCUGAAAAGUUACAAUAUAAGGAGAUACUAACACCAAAAUGGAGAUUGUGUGAGGAACCCGCGAAAAUGGAUGUAAAGAAUGGUGUGAUGCACAGGCCUGAUGAGGACAGUGACUUUGAAGAUUUGUCGGAUGAAACGAUCGCUCUGAGGCACGAACGUAGCGAACGCGAAGAAUACAAACGUAGGACAUAUACGCCAAACCAAACACGUAUUCGUCAUAAUCGUCGUAUCGAUAGCAGAGCAGACAGCGGUGCGAACACGCCAGAUCCUAUGUCGCCGCACGCGAGCAGUGACUUUGGUGGAAACGUGAUAUCUCCAAUCACGUCUCCACCUGCCACUCCGUCUCAGGUGCAGGACACAGAGUCAUCGGGUUUAGAUUCGCACCGAUCGUCUGCUUUACAAAAUUCUUUGCGACGUCGCACUAUGCCCUCUAUGAGACUUGGGAAAGACGAUACCACAGUCGCAUUUACCGAAGAUGAUAACGAGAUAUUGCCGUAUGAGCCAAGAGUAUUCCCAUUAUCUGAAGAAGCUUACGACAAGAUGUUGGAAGUGAUGCCGGAUGGACAUUGGCAAGCUUCAUCGACGUCUUUAUGCUCCCGCGAAGAAGAUAAAGGCGAUGAUGUACGUACGUUGUACUUGUACUAAUAUCUCUUGCAUCGAGUAUCUAAGUGAGAAAAUUUAAUUAUAUAAAAUGUAUGUGGGUGCUAGUACUGACUAUUAAUAUACACUUUGAGCCAACUUUCAUGGCUCCUCUCGAGGCUAUUUCCGGAAGCUGAAAUGGAUUCUCCCGAAUCGGAUUCGACCGAAUCGGCUUGUUGCGAUAUAGACGGUGAGGAUCCCAAUGAUCCCG